rnacentral:rRNA from 1 species
UGCCAUAUCAAUAAGCGGAGGAAAAGAAACCAACAGGCAUUGCCUCAGUAGCGGCGAGUGAAGCGGCAAAAGCUCAAAUUUGAAAUCUGGCGUCUUUGGCGUCCGAGUUGUAAUUUGAAGAAGGUAUCUUUGGGCCCGGCUCUUGUCUAUGUUCCUUGGAACAGGACGUCACAGAGGGUGAGAAUCCCGUGCGAUGAGAUGACCCGGGUCUGUGUAAAGUUCCUUCGACGAGUCGAGUUGUUUGGGAAUA